rnacentral:rRNA from 1 species
UACGUAGGGUGCGAGCGUUGUCCGGAAUUAUUGGCGUAAAGAGCUCGUAGGCGGUCUGUCGCGUCGAUCGUGAAAACUUGGGGCUUAACCCUGAGCUUGCGGUCGAUACGGGCAUGACUGGAGUUCGGCAGGGGAGACUGGAAUUCCUGGUGUAGCGGUGGAAUGCGCAGAUAUCAGGAGGAACACCAAUGGCGAAGGCAGAUCUCUGGGCCGUAACUGACGCUGAGGAGCGAAAGCAUGGGGAGCGAACAGG